CGUUCCCUGCGGUGUUCGUAAGCCAACCGGGUAUUUUCUUGAGCCUAAUUCAUACCCCGGGGAGAGAAAGUCGCUACUCGUGUGCAUGUCUGCCCUGAGCGGAAAGCCUAAAGGUGGCACAGCUCUUCCCACUUGAGCCUUCUGGUUCAAGAACGAAAGUUGGCGACGGCACAGGCGGGGGAUGU
rnacentral:other from 1 species